AUACGGAGGGGACAAGCGUUAUUCGGAAUCACUGGGCGUAAAGGACGCGUAGGCGGGUUAUUAAGUCGGGUGUGAAAUCCAAUGGCUCAACCAUUGAACUGCAUUCGAAACUGAUAACCUAGAGUAUGGAAGGGGCAGGUGGAAUUAGUGGUGUAGGGGUAAAAUCCGUAGAUAUCACUAGGAAUACCGAAAGCGAAGGCGACCUGCUGGGACAUUACUGACGCUGAGGCGUGAAAGCAUGGGGAGCAAACAGGAUUAGAAACCCCAGUAGUCC
rnacentral:rRNA from 1 species